GCCAGUGUGGCAUAGUGUUUUGAAUGUUGGAUUAAGACUCUGGGGACCAGGGUUUGAUUCCCUGCUUGGCCA